GCAAACUUGGUCAUUUAGAGGAAGUAAAAGUCGUAACAAGGUUUCCGUAGGUGAACCUGCGGAAGGAUCAUUACCAAGAAACAAGCUCAGGCUCGGUUCCAAACUGACCGGAGUGCUCAACCCUCUGUGAACCAGAAAACAAACCUUUCGCUUCCGCGGUCGAGCUGGCUUUCCGGCCAGGUCGUAAUCCCGCGGGUAGCACCUUCAAACUCGAUUGUUAACACAACCGGUCUGAAUCAAUUGAUUAAGAAUCAAUUAAAACUUUCAACAACGGAUCUCUUGGUUCUCGCAUCGAUGAAGAACGCAGC
rnacentral:misc_RNA from 1 species